AAAUUGAAGAGUUUGAUCAUGGCUCAGAUUGAACGCUGGCGGCAGGCCUAACACAUGCAAGUCGAACGGUAACAGGAAGCAGCUUGCUGCUUUGCUGACGAGUGGCGGACGGGUGAGUAAUGUCUGGGAAACUGCCUGAUGGAGGGGGAUAACUACUGGAAACGGUGGCUAAUACCGCAUAACGUCGCAAGACCAAAGAGGGGGACCUUCGGGCCUCUUGCCAUCAGAUGUGCCCAGAUGGGAUUAGCUUGUUGGUGAGGUAACGGCUCACCAAGGCGACGAUCCCUAGCUGGUCUGAGAGGAUGACCAGCCACACUGGAACUGAGACACGGUCCAGACUCCUACGGGAGGCAGCAGUGGGGAAUAUUGCACAAUGGGCGCAAGC
rnacentral:rRNA from 2 species